UACAGAGGUCUCAAGCGUUGUUCGGAUUCAUUGGGCGUAAAGGGGUGCGUAGGUGGCGCGGUAAGUCGGGUGUGAAAUUUCGGAGCUUAACUCCGAAACUGCAUUCGAUACUGCCGUGCUUGAGGACUGGAGAGGAGACUGGAAUUUACGGUGUAGCAGUGAAAAUGCGUAGAUAUCGUAAGGAAGACCAGUGGCGAAGGCGGGUCUCUGGACAGUUCCUGACACUGAGGCACGAAGGCCCAGGGGGAGCAAAACGGGG
rnacentral:rRNA from 1 species